rnacentral:rRNA from 2 species
CUUUCAGCGACGGAUAUCCCGGCUCA